rnacentral:rRNA from 1 species
GAUGAACGCUGGCGGCGUGCCUAACACAUGCAAGUCGAACGGAGUUAUUAUUAUGAAGUUUUCGGAUGGAUUAAUAAUAACUUAGUGGCGGACGGGUGAGUAACGCGUGGGUAACCUGCCUCAUACAGGGGGAUAACAGUUGGAAACGGCUGCUAAAACCGCAUAACAUUGCGAUGUCGCAUGACAAUGUAAUUAAAUAUUUAUAGGUAUGAGAUGGGCCCGCGUCUGAUUAGCUAGUUGGUGGGGUAAUGGCCUACCAAGGCGACGAUCAGUAGCCGGCUGGAGAGAGUGACCGGCCACAUUGGGACUGAUACGCGGACCAAGCUCCUAGGGGAGGCAGCAGUGGGGAAUAUUGCACAAUGGAGGAAACCCGGAUGCAGCGACGCCGCGUGAGUGAAGAAGUAUUUCGGUAUGUAAAGCUCUAUCAGCAGGGAAGAAAAUGACGGUACCUGACUAAGAAGCCCCGGCUAACUACGUGCCAGCCGCCGCAGUAA